CUUGCCCCCAUUAGGGUAACAAGGGGACAUUGGACAGCAAGUGGCCCCUGCCCCUAUCUAGCAAACUCUAAAUCCAACUUUCUUUCUGCUCCGCAGACUGAAUAGAGCCGGUGUGAAUCCGGGACGAUUUGCACACCUCAGCGUUUUGUCGUUUACAAUUCGCAUUGGAGUGGUUGGGUAGAGAGAUUACACUGCGGCCUGGAAUAUUCGCUGUUUAGGAACAUCACUGGUUAGAAUGACAGCACACCUGGUCAACCUCCCCUGGCUGGUUGGUAUAAAGGAGUGAUGCAGAAACGCAAAGCACCAGACACGUUUUCACAUCCACACAGCAGGGAAACUGAACGCACCUAAGAAAAUAACUGCAAAUCCCCCUCAAUAUAUAGAUAUAUGGAUAUACAGCGGAAUAUUUGGUUAUAGCUGAGAGUGGGAAUGUUCAGCACACGUUUGCCCUUGAAUUGUAUCGCGUGUUUUAAAUACAAUUUUGACGUGCAGGCAAAGACACAACGCACACACACACACACAUAUACUUUCUCCUCCCCCUCCCUCUCUCCCUCCCUCUCUCCCUCUCUAGCUCACAAUAAGAGAGUGCCAAAGAGGAUGUAACCAACUCCCAAGAUUGGAGGCUGAACGGCUGCUGUCUGGACUGGAAGAGAAGACCGACUUCUGCUAAUUCUGCGGCAGAGCAGCGAGAGUCAAUGACGCAACGCGGUUAGCAAUUCAGGGAUGGAUUCAGCCCCUGAUCCAAGUUACGCUGCUGCCUCAGUAGUAACCCAUGUCUCUCCUGAACUGACCACACAAAAAAAACGCAACAGCGUGCAACCUUGUCUCGUUUUUUAAAAAAUAUUAUUAUUUCUCCAGUUUUUUUAAUAUAUAUAUUUUUGUCCCCCCCCCCCCCCUUCGAAAUAACCCCCCCAAAAAAUGUAGAAUGUAAGACUGUUCCCAAGAAUUCACGGUAACCCCCUUCUGACACAGGGAUAGGAGAAUGGGAAGGAGAUGAGUCACUAUAUAGGGGGUAUGGAGAGAAGGCAGGUACGGGAUACUG